rnacentral:lncRNA from 1 species
AUGCGGUCCCCAGGGCUGACGGGGGGCAUGAAGGACACCAAAGCAGCCCAGGGGGAAGAGAGUGAUGGGGUGGACAGUGACCCUGGAGAGCCCCCUGGAGACCCUCCCAGAGUCCCUGCGAGGAGCCCUGCAUCCUCCACCUCCAGCUCCGAGGCCCAGACCCCAGCCACACAAUCCACGAGUGACAGGACCACGGUCAAGCUGCGCCAGGGCUUCUGGAGCCAACCCUGUGCCUUCUUUCCCAUAAGAUCGCGUGCUGAGCUCCCCGCAGAAUCGUAAGCACAGAGGAUCUUCAACCAGGAUGAACGACUAGACCCAGAGUCCCUUCAGCACCAGAUGCUUUCUGUUAUUUCCAGAUGCUUGUUUUUCGUAACUGGCGUCUUGAUGCUCUGGGCAGG